UUCCUUGAAACUGGAACAGGCUACCUCUCUGAAACUUGCUAUGCACGGCCUAUGUAAGUAGGAUUGGAGUUGUGAGAGAGCUUCACAUUUUCCAAGAACUGUUGUUUGAACACCAGGAACUGUUUCUCACUGCUGGAUUGCAGGUAGAGCCUGCUUGUGGCUGGGGGUUUUGUGUAUCCACGUCCAUCCGUCAGGAGGACAUGAGAUCCCUGGGGUUGAGCAGGCUGGUACCGUACAGUGAUAAAAACUGCGGUGUCUGCAGGUUCAGUCUGACUUGGGGAUAACUGUUUGAAGCCAGUUGCCUUGUGGAUUCGUGUAGUACUCUGUAAGCAUAUGGAAAUAAGGUUAAAUGAAAAGCUUGCAGCAGGGAGAGAAAUUAAUUGGGCUGUAAUGGGGAUAAAGUGCCAGUGAAGAAUUUUUUUUUUCUAGGCAAAACUUCCGUAGAAUGUGUUGCUCCAGGCUUUCAAUCAAAACCUGAAAACAUUUUAAUAGGUACUUUUUCAAUUAAACAGAGAUGACAGAGACAUACACUUAAGUAUAAUUUCCAGGGAGCAUGUAAACCUCUGGAAAGUAGAGCAGAGUGAGGCCGUGCACCACACCUGGGCCUCCUUUCAUGGGGCAGGUUGGCCUGAGAUUAGUCUUUGGUGUCUGACUUGUGAUUCGUGAUGAUCAACUCUGUAGGUUUUUUCACCCUGUCUCAGGAUCUCUUGUGAAGCAGCCCACAAAGAGUUCUUAGUGGAGCGUGGUUUAUGUCUGGCAUUUAGGAGUCCCUGGACUGUUCUUUUGUUUCGCGUUAGGGAUAUACCGCUGGUGGUGUAAACAAAGAGAGGAAAAGUAACCCCUGGAAAGAGUUUUGACUUGAGUUUCAUUUGCCAGCCUUCAGCUUCUUGGUUGUGCUCUGUCUGAAUUGCCUGCUAUUAAAAUGUGGAGGCAUUUAUUUAUAAAAGGUUGUUCUGUAAUGGGCAGUGGAGAGAGGCCAAGUGACUCCGCUGUGUUUCCGUGUACCGAGGCAGGAGUAUAUACCCUGAAGGAAGGCUUUCUGACUUCAUUACUUGGUUUGCACGUAGGGUAACCUGUAAGUGACCUUGAAUUAAUGUCGCAUUUCAGGACUUGUCAUGUAACUACUGUCUGUGUUUCUAAAAGCAGUGAUUUGUUUUCAUGUGAUAAUUCUCAUGAUAAAAUGGGUUUAGGGGUAUAAUCUGAAAGAAACCAGCUUGUUUUAUGAGUACAGCUGUGUGCGCUUUUUCCCGUUCCCAUUAUCAAGCUUGGCUCUCGUGAAGAGCUGUGAGCCUCACAGCUCUUCAUAUUAAGGCUUUUCCUAAAGUCACUGCUUUAUAGGCUCAGACUUGGGGCAUGUUUUUCCAUAGAUUUUGUUCCAUUUGGAGAGAAAAACCUAGUCAAAUUCUGUUGCUGGUAAUUUUUGUAAAUUUGUUACUCUCGUUACAUUGUUCACUUAGUGUUUGAUAAGCAGGAUGUGGCUGAGAACAGUGCACGUUGAGUAUUAACUCAUCUGUCAGAAAAUUAAUCCUCUGCUGAAUAGCACAGAAAAUUCAGUGCUUUCUGGUAACGGCGUGUAACGUGCAGAUACCAGUACAAAGGCUCGUCUGGUGCUGACACCUUGGAAGGGCUACUGCUUGGUGACUAAUACACAGAGUAGAUUUGUGAUUAAUUGGUAAAUAUUAUGGCUGAAGCAAUGAUAUUGAAAGCCUCAGAGAAGGAAAUAUCUUAAUUUCUGGCCAUUGAUGUGUCUACAUAGCAUGGGACAUGCAGGCUACACAGGGCUUAGUGAUGGUUGGACUAGAUGAUCUUAAAGGUCCCUUCCAACCCAGACAGCUCUGAUUCUGUGUGAUCUGGGAAUGGCAGAGGGCUGGGAAUCUGAGUGUGUGGCUGGAAAGGCUUAUAUAGAGGUCUGUGUGCUUCAGAGGAGUGUAUAAAUACUAUGGGGGUGUUUAAUGCUAAAUUCUGGUUAGGAGUGCUAGGGCCAGUGUGCAUUUCAGGGUUGGGGAGUGUGUGUUUGUUUUCAAACUGCUUUUUCAGGUGUCAGGCAGCAUGUUGGCAGGUGUGUUCAAUGGUAAAGCUGUUGCAUGUGUCAUAUAGGCCAGAAGUACAGUAAUAAAGGUAAAUUUUAUAACUUCCUGGAUUUCCAGUUAUUUAAUUGCUUUUUCAGGAGUAUAGGUCUUCCUCCUAAGAUAUUAAACAUUCAAAUUCCUUAAUCUUUUCUUUAAAAAAAAAAAAAAAA